rnacentral:rRNA from 1 species
AGCAGUGGGGAAUAUUGCACAAUGGGGGAAACCCUGAUGCAGCCAUGCCGCGUGUGUGAAGAAGGACCUUCGGGUUGUAAAGCACUUUCAGUAGGGAGGAAGGUAGUGUAGUUAACACCUGCACUAUUUGACGUUACCUACAGAAGAAGCACCGGCUAACUCCGUGCCAGCAGCCGCGGUAAUACGGAGGGUGCGAGCGUUAAUCGGAAUUACUGGGCGUAAAGCGCAUGCAGGCGGCCUGUUAAGUCAGAUGUGAAAGCCCGGGGCUUAACCUCGGAAUUGCAUUUGAAACUGGCAGGCUAGAGUCUUGUAGAGGGGGGUAGGAAUUUCAGGUGUAGCGGUGAAAUGCGUAGAGAUCUGAAGGAAUACCAGUGGCGAAGGCGGCCCCCUGGACAAAGACUGACGCUCAGAUGCGAAAGCGUGGGGAGCAAACAGGAUUAGAUACCCUGGUAG